rnacentral:rRNA from 1 species
UACGGAGGGUGCGAGCAUUAAUCGGAAUUAUUGGGCGUAAAGGGCGCGUAGGUGGCUUGGUAAGUCCCCUGUGAAAUUUCGCAGCUUAACUGCGAAGCUGCAGGGGAAACUGUCUAGCUUGAGGAUAGAUGGGGAAAGUGGAAUUCCACAUGUAGCGGUGAAAUGCGUAGAUAUGUGGAGGAAGACCGGUGGCGAAGGCGACUUUCUAAUCUAUACCUGACACUGAGGCGCGAAAGCAAGGGGAGCAAACAGGAUUAGAUACCCGCGUA